GACGAACGCUGGCGGCGUGCCUAAUACAUGCAAGUAGAACGCUGAAGGAGGAGCUUGCUUCUCUGGAUGAGUUGCGAACGGGUGAGUAACGCGUAGGUAACCUGCCUGGUAGCGGGGGAUAACUAUUGGAAACGAUAGCUAAUACCGCAUAAUAUUGACUAUUGCAUGAUAGUCAGUUGAAAGGUGCAACUGCACCACUACCAGAUGGACCUGCGUUGUAUUAGCUAGUUGGUGGGGUAACGGCUCACCAAGGCGACGAUACAUAGCCGACCUGAGAGGGUGAUCGGCCACACUGGGACUGAGACACGGCCCAGACUCCUACGGGAGGCAGCAGUAGGGAAUCUUCGGCAAUGGACGGAAGUCUGACCGAGCAACGCCGCGUGAGUGAAGAAGGUUCUCGGAUCGUAAAGCUCUGUUGUAAGAGAAGAACGAGUGUGAGAGUGGAAAGCUCACACUGUGACGGUAUCUUACCAGAAAGGGACGGCUAACUACGUG
rnacentral:rRNA from 1 species